rnacentral:rRNA from 1 species
UGACCUCAAAUCGGGUGAGACUACCCGCUGAACUUAAGCAUAUCAAUAAGCGGAGGAAAAGAAACUAACAAGGAUUCCCCUAGUAACUGCGAGUGAAGCGGGAAAAGCUCAAAUUUAAAAUCUGGCGGUCUUUGGCCGUCCGAGUUGUAAUUAAAAGAAGCGUUCUUCCGCGCCGAACCGUGCACAAGUCUCCUGGAAUGGAGCGUCAUAGAGGGUGAGAAUCCCGUCUUUGGCACGGAUGCCCGGUGCUUCUGUGAUGCGCUCUCGAAGAGUCGAGUUGUUUGGGAAUGCAGCUCAAAUGGGGUGGUGAACUCCAUCUAAAGCUAAUUAUUGGGC